AAUGAACGUUGGCGGCGUGGAUUAGGCAUGCAAGUCGAGCGGAAGUAGCAAUACUUUAGCGGCGAAAGGGACAGUAAUACGUAGAUACGUACCCUCAGGACUGGGAUAGCCACGGGAAACUGUGGGUAAUACCAGAUAACGUCUCCGGACCAAAGGUGUGAGUCCGCCUGAGGAGCGGUCUGCGUCCUAUUAGCUUGUUGGUGAGGUAAUGGCUCACCAAGGCUUUGAUGGGUAGCGGGUGUGAGAGCACGACCCGCGUCAUUGGGACUGAGAUACUGCCCAGACACCUACGGGUGGCUGCAGUCGAGGAUCUUCGGCAAUGGGCGCAAGCCUGACCGAGCGACGCCGCGUGUGGGAUGAAGGCUUUCGGGUUGUAAACCACUGUCAGUGGGGAGGAAAUUUAUGAGGGUACUCCCUCAUAAUUGACCUAUCCGCAGAGGAAGCAAGGGCUAAGUUCGUGCCAGCCGCCGCCGUAACAC
rnacentral:rRNA from 1 species